GACGAACGCUGGCGGCGUGCCUAAUACAUGCAAGUAGAACGCUGAAGGAGGAGCUUGCUUCUCCGGAUGAGUUGCGAACGGGUGAGUAACGCGUAGGUAACCUGCCUGGUAGCGGGGGAUAACUAUUGGAAACGAUAGCUAAUACCGCAUAAGAGUAGAUGUUGCAUGACAUUUGCUUAAAAGGUGCAAUUGCAUCACUACCAGAUGGACCUGCGUUGUAUUAGCUAGUUGGUGGGGUAACGGCUCACCAAGGCGACGAUACAUAGCCGACCUGAGAGGGUGAUCGGCCACACUGGGACUGAGACACGGCCCAGACUCCUACGGGAGGCAGCAGUAGGGAAUCUUCGGCAAUGGACGGAAGUCUGACCGAGCAACGCCGCGUGAGUGAAGAAGGUUUUCGGAUCGUAAAGCUCUGUUGUAAGAGAAGAACGAGUGUGAGAGUGGAAAGUUCACACUGUGACGGUAUCUACCAGAAAG
rnacentral:rRNA from 1 species